UUUAAAAAGAUGGAAGUGUCCUACAGAAGACACGGAAGACAAGGCUACUAAAGGAUUAUAAUGUUGAGGAAUGCUUCAUUACUGCCUGUGACUGAAGCAGAAUUAUGUCCAUAUUUAAAUAACUGACAAAGGAAGAAUGGUGGGAUGUGGAAACAGGGCAAGUAUAUGGCAUUGAGAUUACUCUGACAGCGAAGGAAUAGUGCCAACUCUGACUGGUUGGAUUGAACGGAUCAGCAGUGAUCAGGAGUGGCAAAGGUGUACACCAACUGAGGAAAAGAACACAAGAAAGCAGGAUCAUGCAAUAAAACUCAAAUAAACUUGGAGGAAACUGCAGGGAGAUUCUGCCAAUGAGAACUGAAGCCUGCAUCUGUGCCCAUGUUAGAGGGCGAAGAGGUUUGUGCUGGGGCCGAGCUUAUCUGUUUACAUGGCACUGAGCCCCUGACUGUUUUUAGUAACGCGAA